UUCAAUGUUUAUCCUGUCUCUUCACUAUGAGUAUUGUUUUAAGUAAAAUACGUAAAUUUGAUUUUGAAAGUUAAGAACUUCAACAUGCUCAUGUUCGGCGAUACCGAUGAAUCGAUUAGGCGGAAAAAACAAUGAUCGGAUAAUCGUUAACUCGAUAUCGUUAUCGUGAUAAAUUAUCGCGAUAAUUUAAUGCAAUAACCUAUGCUCUUGUGCGACUUAAACAGUUUGUUCACAAAGCGCUGCCAAUGUUGUACAAAGGCUUAGUCUCUGAAUUGUUCAGUCUAGUAGUUACAAUGAACCAUCAACAGGAUUCUACAGGUUCUGAGAUUACGUAGAAAUAGCAAUAUCCGAUUCCAGAGACAGUUCGACAUCCUUGGCCACAUGACAGGUGGAGCAUCUUUCGACACAGAUUUUUUUUUUUUUUUAUUCCUCAUAAACAAUACUUGCAUUAACUUGGGGACCCCGAAAAGUCUCUUUAGGCAACUGAAAGUUACAAAAAUAGUUUAACCAUAGGUAAACUCUUUUAAUCAUCAGGGAAGCUGUCCUGUUCAUUUAGCCUAGGACACGUCUUAUGUUCGUCUGAUAAAAUAUCGCCAAUUAGCACAGCAGCAAACACCACCUUGAUCACGUGGUGCUGAUGCAAAUACGGAUGUUAUCUCUACGUCUACUGUAUGUUAGCUAGUUGCACCUCCCGAAGCAGAGUAGUGGGAGGCAGAGAGCUGUGUGCUUCGGGGAGGAGUGACGCUCGCUGCUAGUGGCUGCGUCAAGCCAAGGUCUAUAUACACCUGUAUAGAUCUUGCGUCAAGCGAGCCCUAGCGAGCGGCGGAGGGCCACAUCGAGACUGAUGGUGUGUCUCUCGUUGGACUUGAUGCUGCUAACCAGAGACGCAGAGCACACAGUGGCAUAUUCCUGACGUCUCUCUAGUAACUAGAGGCGCAGUAUCUCACCUGUUAACAUCCAGAAACACCACGUUACUUUAUUUCAGGUAAGAGGUGAAUUCUCCAAUUAUACCUAUAAAUAAAUUUGUUAAUAGUCCUUUAAUUGAAAAUUUUCUUCAAGCCUAUUAAUAUGACACUAUCUUAACUGAAUGAAAUGUUCUCCCUGUAAUGCUGCUAGCUUACAUAAAAAUGCUGCUAGCCUAUGCCAUAUUUGUUGACAUUAAAUUGGUCAGCUGCAAUGACAUGUGGUUACAACAGCAAUUUGGUCUACGAGUAUGUAAGGACAGCCUCAAUCUGAGAGAUUCUUCAGAUAUUAAAAUAAAAACUGAUUAACUUCAAAACUUUUUAAGUUAUUGCUUUUCCACAUUUUACAAAAAGCUUAUUCACAUAAACCUCAAAGGGGAUCUUAUUAUAAACAUCAUAAUAAGUAUUUCGAAGGAGAUAAGGCAUAUGAGUAUGGAAAUAGUUGUGACAGUCGUGUACUGAUGUUCUUCCUUUGGUUCUUCUCAUUAAAAAUAAGUUAAAAAUGAGUUAUUAUAAUUAUCAGAUUAUUAGAAAUUAAUUAGUAUGAUUACAAAGCAUCCAAACUUGAAAUAGCAGUAGCGUAUGUAUGGUCAAUGCUGGUCAUGAAAAAAAUAAAAAU